GGCGAACCCCAUGACUGUCACCUCUCCAGGACCGGACCCACAGCUGAACCCAGUAUGGAGGAUGAGAAAGGACAAGUACUCUAAAACACCAACCUGAGUGCAGGGCUGGGGGUCUCCUUUCAACUUUACUCGGAAAAUCUUCCAGAUGAAGAAACCAAGCGUAAGAUCGAAGCAACUCUCCCCGAUUUGACAUCCUCAAAAAAUACGAACUUCUCUCCACAAUUUUACCAAGUGAAAAAAACGUUCACUUGGCCUUUGACUAUUGCUGAAACAGGUACUCUGGGAUUUUCAAGAGUGGUUUUCAGAGGAGAUGGAGAGAUGGACCCUCUUGUGCUUGCCAAGGCACCUGAGCAUUUGGAGGUUUUCCUUCUGGUUUUGUGCAGGUUUUAUUUUUUUCCCCCGUGCUCAUUCAUCACCAUGGAUGCUAUGCUUGGAGAGCAAGGGGUUUCGGUUGCAAAACUUGCUUCCUGUUAAUUCUUCUACUCCUGAA
rnacentral:lncRNA from 1 species